CAAGCAUCUUCAAAGUGUCUCCUUACAGUCAGUAACAGACCCUUCCCAGACAAAUACAGCUGGAUGUUUUGAAAUCCAGCAUGAUGAACUGUGGAAAAAAAAUAAUAAAUAAACAAACAUUGUGAACUGCAUAUUCAAGGCAGUAUCUUUGUCCUCUGAAACAUGAGCUGUUUAUACUGCAAUGACUGUAGCAAAAUGUGCAGUCCUUGGUGGAUGGCUGAAUGUUGAAUGAUGAUCAUUACACAAAGAGAUUUUAAUUCUCAGCCUGCUGGAGCUGAGGUGAGGGUGAAGGAUGGCAGAAGUGCUCCAGCAUGCAGGUAACCUCUCACUGAGCAGCACCUGAGGCAACACUGGAACAAUUCUGUCAACCACCGAUGAAUUUUAGAAAGUUACAUGAUCAUACCUGCACUGUUUAAAGUUCUCCUGCGUGAUCUGGAACAAGAAAACAUCACAAAUAUCAGCACAGUAUAAUAAAUACCAAAAUAAAUGUGAAUACUAAAAGUCA
rnacentral:lncRNA from 1 species